rnacentral:tRNA from 1 species
AGAAUUAGAAUCUAAUUAACUAAUUAUUUAUAUAUUUAUCAAUUUCAUU